GAUUUCUGGUAUGGCGCAUUUGGCCCGUUCUCGGUUACGAGUUUGUGUGCCGUUUUGCGCCUGCCAUCUUUCUGGGGAACGACUCUUCCUUCACUGGCUAGGGCCGGGAUCCAGAUCUUUUACUUUGAAAAAAUUAGAGUGUUUAAAGCAGGCUUGUUGCUAUGAAUACAUUAGCAUGGAAUAAUAAUUUAGGACUUUGGUCUUAUUUUGUUGGUUUCUAGGACUAAAGUAAUGAUUGAUAGGGAUAGUUGGGGGUGCUAGUAUUCAGCGGCCAGAGGUGAAAUUCUUGGAUUCGCUGAAGACUAACUUAUGCGAAAGCAUU
rnacentral:rRNA from 1 species